rnacentral:lncRNA from 1 species
AGUGGUAGAGACUGGUAAUGAUGAGAGAGCACCCAUCAUCUUAGGGAGGCCAUUCUUGAACACCUCAGGAGCUAUCAUCUACGCCAGUGCUGCCAAGAUCAGUUUCUACAUCAAAGGGAGGAAGGAGACGUUUUUCUUCAAGAACAAGACUACACAAAUCCCAGAUCAAUCCAGACGUGAAUCAAGGAAGAGGACCAACAGGAGGAACAGGAACAAGCAAGUGUGGACCGAGUCAGCUAAGAUGGUCACUGUAGUUCAUGGAGGUCAAGAUCAUCAACUUAAGUCACCAUUUUUGACCAAGAAGGAUGACCCAGGAAUGCCAAGCAUCUAUUGCUCCAUAAAUGGAUAUAACUUCUACAAGAUGACUUGCGACACCGGAUCGGGCGUCAACAUAAUGGCCGCAGUCACCUAUCGGCUCUUGUUCGGAACCAUGCCCUUAAAACCAACAUACAUUCAGCUCCAGAUGGCAGAUCAGACAUUUCGAGAAGUCAAAGAAAUAGUAACUAAUGUCCCUGUCAAAAUAGACGAUCAUUUUGUCUACGCAGACUUUCAGGUUAUUGACAUGGGAGAAGACGAAUACGAUCCACCUAUCAUCCUUGGAAGACCGUUCCUCAGCACCGUUAAAGCAAUCAUCUACAUUGGAACUGGAGAAGUCCACAUGCACUUCCCCUCAGAGAAGGUACGCCGUUAUUUUACUGACCCUAACUACAUCUUUGAAGAAUCUAAGCAGGUCAGAAAGAGACGCAACCGCAACCAGAGGAGGCAGAUCAUCAAGGACGGAUGGGCAGACUACGAAGGAGAAGUGAUAAGGUCAGAAGACGUAGAGUUUAAACAGAAUUAUCCAGAGGAGACCGAAGCACCGAGUCAGGUAUGGAAAGAGAAGAUAACUAUACAUGAAGAAGAGGCGCCGCCGGAAGUACCGACUCCGCCACCCAACGAAUCCCAGGACAAUUGAGAAAACAGAGAGUCCCGUUCGGAGGACUUAAAAACACCGAACGCCUUGCCAAGAGGUAAACUUGGUAGUUAUCCUUUCCCUUUUAAUUAUUUCAAAUAAUCUACUUAGUUAAUCAUGUUCAUGCUAUCCUAAAAAGAAAAUAAAAAUAUGAAAAACAGUAAGCCCCAUGUGAGUAUACGAGUGGCAUUAAACACAUAAGUACAUUCACUGUGGUGGCAUAAAAAUAAAAUAAAUAUUUCUUUUCUGCUCUAUAAAAAUGAAAAUAUAAAAAUAGAGAGUAAUAAUUAUUAAGGAGUCUCAACGUGAUAAAGGCUAGAUAUUUAUGCUAACACUUAAUCAGUUCCACAAGCUUUGUUGUCUAUUUGAGCUCCACAGAAUUUAAGAAUCAAGAAUACUAGCAGACGGAGGACAUUCUAAUAGCUGUCAGAAGGCUGCUGACUUUCAAAUAUACCUCUGCCACCUGCUAGCUACAUCAAGAGAAAUUACGUCAAAAUUCAGCUUGGGGAAGAGCACCCCCAUUUAUCUCGAUAAGUAUUUCUAUCUAUCUAUCUUUAUACUUAUAUUAUAUUAGAAUUUAAAUAUACAUAACUAUGGAAAACCAAAUAAAGAUUUUAUGCUUAUAUAUAUAUCUUUUGCUUAGUGUGUUUAAUAAAUAAAUAAAGUGGCUAUGCUAAUCUGUAUCUAAAUAAAACUCUAGCAUGGAUAUGAUGAAUAGUUGCUCUACCUAAUUUGCACAUUUUAAGUUCUCUCUCAAGUUUAGAUAUAACUGUUAUAAUUUAAAGCUUGCUCUAGACCUGAACUUGUGGGAUGAAAACUUGAUCUGAAGUCUAAGUUGUUAAUGGAUACGAUAUGGGAAGGUUGAGUUGCUGUUUAUCUGUUCCUAGAGAUGCUAGAAUUCUGGAGAAUUUUAUCUUUGAAAAUCUUUAAAAUAUUGCAUGAUGAGUUCCUGUAUGAUGAGAGUUUAAAUUCCUACCACAGCCAUAUAUACAUGCUUGCUAGACUUUGAGCCACACAUUUACUAUUUACUGCUUAUGAGCAUUGAGUAUGGUCAAGCUGUGUAGACCCUUAGGAGCUUGUCAUGUGGUUAAAUCAAGAUUUCACUUGCACGUUCACUCAUAUAUGCUACUUCUACUCCGGAAGUACCAUCCACAUAUAUCCAUCCAUUUCCAUCUCCAGAAUCACCUAAAAAAAUAUUCUACUCCUAAUCCGGGAGAGAAUAGCCAAAAAUAUUUCUGUUUUUCCCUUGUGAAAUAAAUGCUCAAGUUAUCUUGUUACUACCACUUGCUAUAUUAUCUCAAGAGAUGAGUGCUCUAAAAAAAGAGAGAAAAAAAAAGAUACGAGGAAAUAAAAAGGGGCAAGUGCCCGGAACCUCGAAAGAAAAGAAAAAGUGAGACGAGAGGUAAAAAUGGACAAGUGUCCGACAGUAGAAUUAGGGGUACAAGAUACCCACCUGAGAGGAAAGAAAAAGAAAAAGAAGAGCAUCUCAUUCUCCUCAAAAACUUUCAAAAAGCAAGGAAGGUAUGUAUCCCCUCAAAGAGCAAAAGUAGAAUUAGGCUUUUACCAUUGUUAUCACCAUCGUCACCAUUAUCAUCAUUCAUUCGCCACACAUUCACAUCUUGAUUUGACUUAAUGAUUUGUUUCUUUGGAUCCAUGGUUUGACUAUACAAUACAUGUCUUGUAAGUUUGUAUACUUUAUCUCCCACCUAUGAGCUCCAGAUAUUAAAUCCUUAUUAGAGUAGGGUGAGAGAGAAGGCAAUGUCAUUAUGCCAUAUACCACAAAUACCACAUACAUUUUCAGAGAAGGCAUAUACCAUCACUGCCUUGGUAAGGAUCUAGAAAUACCACAAAAGAGAGAUUUGAGAGAAUCAUACAAGGAAUCUCUGAGUUUUAUUUGAAAAUCUGCAAAAACUCUAGAACUAUAGCUGAUCAAGAAUAAGCGACAUGGCACUUGGCUAGACCGUUCUAUCUUUUAACUGCUCAAGAUGGAAGUGACAGUUACAAGUCCCAUGGUGAAAGGUAAAGUAAGUAAGUUUCAAGUCUUGAUAGUUUACUCAAACUCAGUGAUGAGAUCUUAUUUAAAAGCAUGUGUACCGUCAAUUUUUAAAGAUAUUGCAACAACUUCUGAUCCAUCGCUGAGUCUAGCCUUGCUCAGGGACGAGCAAGAGGUAAGCUUGGGGGAGUUUGUUGACGGUCCUUAAGUAUCAAAUUUAAUUAUUAAAUAAACAAAGAAAAGGAUACAAAUGAAAUCAACAUCUAGACUUAGGGUUUUAUCUGACAGAAUUCCACGAGUUUUGGUGUUUGUCUAUUUCUGCAGGUGGUUAUCCGGAAAUACGAAAGAAAGACCCACACGUCGGGAUUACAUAGAGAUAUUAAUGUGCCGCGCAAUUAUCUUACAUCUAAAAGACUCCAGAAGCCACAGGAAGAAAGCGGAGGCCGAACGGGGCUAGAGGCAGGGCGCCCGCCCUCUGUUGGAGUCCAAUCAGGACUCUGUUUCUCGGGAGAUCUCCACCGACCUAAAGGAUCAAGGAUAACCGUUCAAUCAAUGUCGGUUUGAUCCAACGGCCCAUAUUCACUUGAAGGGACUAUAAAACCAGACCCCCUGGCCCCUGGAGGAGAGAGCCUCUCAACCCUAAUUCAUUAUUCUUCAAGGGAGAAGAAGCCUCUGAUCAAGAUUAGAGCCACCACAUCAAUUAGACAUCUAGAUUAGCAUAGCUACAUAGGAUUAGAACAAGAAGGAGUCAAUCUUCGAUUGGUUUCCGGAUCUGUCAAGAGGAUUCUUGGUAAUUCUCUAAUUGUGCUUCUAAUUGUUCUUCUAAUUAUCUUUGUUCUUCAAUAUUAUGAAUAUGACUUUGUAAUACUUCAAUAUAUUGCUUAUGACUUUGCUCUACUUGUUUAUAUUCAAGAUUAUAUUGUUCUUAGUUUAUCAUAGUUAUGUACUUGGCUUAGUUAGAUUGGAUCUAUAUACAUGCUUAGGAUCGUAUAGCGUUUAUUUUUAUCCAUUGGAUCCAUGGGUAAAUGAUAGAUAUUGUGUAGGCGUGGUGCUUAUACCGUAUUACAUCGAGGGGUAGUUCGUGAUAGUGACAGCUUCAUUGAUUCUUAUAUAGUCCCCCUCUCGUGUAUUGGGCUAGCAGAGCAAUAUUAUUACGGAGGAGUGAUUGCUAUGUUUCUCAUUUACCUUGCUAAUAUCACUAUGCAUGGGUGUAAUCUUGUCUCGCAAUGAUUGCUAAGUAUGCUUGCACUAACUAUGAUAAUGCUAGACUAUAUAGUCGAGAAUAACUUAGGAAAUAUUCUUGUAGUUCGUUCUAAUUCCAUGCUAAUGACUUUCUAGAGUAUCUAAUUGAGGUGCUUAUCAUAUUUAUUAUGUGGCUAGUUAUGAUCAGAUUAAUUAUCUUUGUCACUAUUCAUUACUUCAUAUAUCUUUUAUGUGAUACUUAUCCCUGUAUGAAAGAGUUAGAUAAAUGUUCUCAAUUAUACAUGCAAUGAUAGAUACUCAAUCUCAUAUUCUAUUCUGUAAUCAAUAUUGAUGAUUAUUAAUCCCUCCCCAGUGGUAAAAAUAUAAAUAACGAUACCUAGAAUACUUUCCGGUUAAAAUGCUGCAUCGGAAUUAAUCUGUGCGCUUGCAGAUCCCAUUCAUUGUUUAUUUAGAAGAGCAAUUGCAUAUUUCAAUACCGCGUCUCUCAUGUCAUGCUGGGGAUGACAACUUGGCUUAAGUGGUGUGAGGUAUAGGUUUGGCAUUUUUGGCACCGUUACUAGAUUUAGAAAACUAAGUCUACUUUUGGUAAUGAUGUUAAGAAUACCCAACAGGGAAUGAUUGCUAUGUUUCUCAUUUACCUUGAUAAUAUCACUAUGCAUGGGCGUAAUCUUGUCUCAUAAUGAUUGCUAAGUAUAAUUGCACGAACUAUGAUAUGCUAGACUGUAUAGUUAAGAAUAACUUAGGAAAUAUUCUUGUAGUUCGUCCUAAUUUCAUGCUAAUGACUUGCUAGAAUAUCUAAUUGAGGUGCUUAUCAUAUUUAUAUGUGGCUAAGUUAUGCUGUUCAGAUUAAUUAUCUUUGUCACUAUUCAUUACUUUAUAUAUCCUUUAUGUGACACUUAUCCCUGUAUGAAAGAGUUAGAUAAAUGUUCUCAAUUAUACAUGCAAUGAUAGAUACUCAAUCUUAUAUUCCAUUCUAUAAUCAACACUGAUGAUUACUAAUCCCUUCCCAGUGGUAAAAAUAUAAAUAACGAUACCUGGAAUACUUUCCGGUUAAAAUGCUACAUCGGUAUUAAUCUGUGCGCUUGCAGAUCCAACUUGAUUAUUUAUUUAGAUGAGCAAUUGCAUAUUUCAAUACCGUGUCUCUCAUAUCAUGCUGGGGAUGACAACUUGGCUUAAGUGGUAUGAGGGAUAGGUUUGGCAUUUUUGGCACCGUUAUCAGAAUUAGAAAACUAAGUCUACUUUUGGUAAUGAUGUUAAGAAUACCCAACAAGCAUUUUUGGCGCUGUUGUCGGGAAAGGUUGAUUACUAAUCAAGAAUGGAUAUAGGAUUUUGAGUCAUCAUUCGCAUCACUAAUAUAAUUGAGCUUAUCAAUUGUCUCAUACAGUUUUACCCCGAUAUUUUCCUAUUUUAUCUUAUGCAGGGUAAUGUAUGAAUAGAAGACAUCUUCCAGGAAAUUUUGUUGACAAUCCCGAAGCAUUAUUCAGAAAAACAAGAGCCAAGCUCAAGAAGAGAUCAUCAACACUUCAGCAAGAAGCUUCAUCCAAUCAAGAAGAUCACUGGAACUUGUCUUCAGAAUUUGAAGCCAUGGCGAACAAAUCGAUCCGUGAGUUCUCAGCUCCCACUACGGACAACUGGACCAGCUGCAGAGAUCGACGGCAACUUUGAGCUCAAGCCUGGACUUAUCAACAUGGUGCAAUCCAACCAGUUCUGUGGGAAAGCACAUGAAGAUGCUAGUGCUCAUCUCCAACACUUUCUACAGAUUUGCAGCACAUUUACCAUAUCAGGAGUCCCCAGAGUUGCUAUACUACUUCGCCUCUUCCCAUUCUCACUGUUAGGGAGAGCGAAGCAGUGGUUCUAAGCUACAAAGGAGAAGAAUACUACGUGGGCACUCUGCUCCACAAACUUUCUAGCUAAGUUCUUUUGCAUGGGCAAGACCAAUGCUCUCCGUGGGAAAAUUACAAAUUUUCAGCAACAACAUGAUGAAUCCGUUCUAGAAGCAUGGGAGCGCUUCCAAGACUACAUCCUAGAAUGUCCCCAUCAUGGAAUAGAGAGCUGGCUAUUAAUGCAGACGUUUUAUCAUGGGCUCAGCAACAGUGCCCGAGAGACCAUGGAUGUGCAGCUGGAGGAGCAUUCUUAUCACUCACCAUACCAUAAGCCACAGCUCUUGUGGACAAGAUGGCGUCCAACCAAGGCUGGAAUGAAGAAAGGACCCAGACACGCAAGAGAGGUGGAGGUAUGCAUCAUCUUAAGGAGGUAGACAUGCUGUCUGCAAAGCUAGACUUGCUCAUGAAGAAGCUCGAUGAUAGAGCUGGAGAUAAGAAAUAAGUUAUGCAUAUCUACGACUCUCACAUGACUUGUGAGGAGUGUGGAGAUACUGGACACUCAGGCAAUCACUGCCCUGAGAUGCUUGAGGAUGUAAACUCCAUCAACAACAACAACAACAACUACUACAACCGUCCUCAACAAAAUCAAGGUUGGAAUCAACAAAGGCCUAACUACUCAGACAUGUUUGAUGUAGGUAACUACUGGAGUAACCCCGUCACUGAAGUUACUACUGACCUUAUGUCGGUCAAGAGAGGCGAUCCAGGAUGCCCCAUCAUCCCGAUCUCCAUCGGCAUGGUGAACUUCCCAGAAGCACUCUGCGACUUUGGCUCCAGCGUCAACGUUAUGCAUAGGGUACUCUAUGAAAAAUUCUUUACAUAUCCUUUAUUAGAAACAACCAUGUGUUUGUAGUUUGCAGAUUGGACGUUAAGUUUCCCAAAGGGAAUAUUAAAGAACCUCUGUGUCCGAGUUGGUACCUUGUACGCCCCAGCAGACUUCGUGGUGAUAGAGACCGGUAAUGAUGAGAGGGCACCCAUCAUCUUAGGGAGGCCAUUCUUAAACACCUCGGGAGCUAUCAUCUAUGCUAGCACUGCCAAGAUCCGUUUCUACAUCAAAGAGAGGAAGGAGACGUUUUCCUUCAAGAACAAGACCACACAAAUCUCAGGGCAAUCUCGACAUGAACCAAGGAAGAGGACCAACAGGAGGAACAAGAACAAGCAAGUGUGGACCGAGUCAGCUAAGACGGUCACUGCAGUUCAAGAAGGUCAAGAUCAUCGACUUAAGUCACCGUUUCUGACCAAGAAGGACGACCCAGGAAUGCCAAGCAUCUAUUGCUCCAUAAAUGGAUACAACUUCUACAAGAUGUUUUGCGACACCGGAUCGGGCGUCAACAUAAUGGCCGCAGUCACCUAUCGGCUCUUGUUCGGAACCAUGCCCCUAAAAGCAACAUACAUUCAGCUCCAGAUGGCAGAUCAGACAUUUUGAGAGGUUAAAGGUACAGUAACUGAUGUCCCUGUCAAAAUAGACAAUCAUUUUGUCUACAUAGACUUUCAGGUUAUUGACAUGGGAGAAGACGAAUACGAUCCACCCAUCAUCCUUGGAGGACCGUUCCUCAACACCGUUAAAGCAAUCAUCUACAUUGGAACUGGAGAAGUCCAUAUGCACUUCCCCUCAGAGAAGGUACGCCGCUAUUUUACUGACCCUAACUAUAUCGUUGAAGACUCUAAGCAGGUCAGGAUAAGAAGAAGACGACGCAACCGCAACCAGAAGAGGCAAAUCAUCAAGGACGGAUGGGCAGACUAUGAAGGAGAAGUGAUAAGGUCUAAAGACAUACAACUUGAACAAGAUUAUCCUGAGAAGACCAUAGCACCGAGUCAGGUGUGGAGAGAGAAGAUAACUAUACACGAAGAAGAGGCGCUGUAACACCCCAGUGUUAUGGUUGCAUUAAUCAUGUGCAUAGCAUAAGCAUCAUCAUCUACUCAAAGCAUAUCAUGAUCAUCAUCUAUCUUGAGCCAUGUCAUUUUAUGCAAAAAUGUGUUUUAAAUUGCUUAGAUAGGCUUCCUAUGCUUAUGUUUGAGUGAACCAUGCUUGUGUUUGUGCUUAAUGCCUUGGUAAUUAGUUUAUCUAUGUUUAACUUGACUUUGGUAACAAUGUUCAUGUUGGUCACUUAUCCAAAAUAUGCCCUUAAGUCAUACUUAUGAAAAUAGGCCCUAGAAACGUCUUUUGCUUAGGCUUUUAAAACGUGUUUCAUAAAUUGUUUGCAUGUCAAUACUUUCUAUAGCAAAGUUGUAGCAAAUUUUAUAAGGAACAAAAGUUGUUUUAUGUCCAUCUCAUGAAAAUGACCAAAAAUAGCUCAAAAGUGACCCACAAGGCAGAUUUGGGGCUGUUUCCAACACUUAGAAAAUUUUCUAAGUCCGGGAACGGAACCAGUUUGCUUGAUCGGUUUUGAAAACUCUAUAUCUUUCAAUCCAUGCCGAUCUGGCCUUUGCUCCAAUUAACAAAGUUGUAGAACUUAGUUGGAAAUCCAACUUUGUCAACUACACCGUCCUCUAAUUCGUUCUGGUUUGGGAGUAAAUCGUUGCCAAAGUAGCUCUAUCAGUCGGCCAUCGUUUUGUCUGAAUCGGUUUGAAGCUCGCCGACGUGGCCGACCGGCGGCAGCGCAACGGCGACAUUUGGCGCCCGUACGCCGUUCCUGGCCCCGCCUGUCAGCUUCCGUCGCGUGCAUGACCUCCACGGCGUCGCCCGCGCCGAGUGGACGCGUCCACUUCGCUCUCCCUCGCCCUGCUCGCCAGAAACGCGGCCGCCGAGAGCUCUCCUCCGCGAGCUUACUCCGGCGAGCUCGCGCGCGUUCCCUACUGCGCCAUUGCCCACCAAACUUCACCCAAAGCUCCGCCGUGAACCGCUCUCCAAUCUCCACCCUCUAACUCGCCGAGAAACCCACCGGUGAGCCGACAUUUCCUUCUUCCCCCAAAUCGGGUCGCCGUGACCUUCGUCUCUGGCGAACUCAAUGCCGAGCUCUGUGAAGCCUCUCGUCGUCUCUGGUCAGGUCCUAGAAGUAGCUUAGGUCCUUAGCGAGUUUUUGCGCCACUUGGUGGACGCUCUACCGAGCUCUCCGUCGCCGGACACGGUGCGCAGCGCCGCCGUGCUUCCGCCGGAGAUGGGUGCUCUCGUGGCCAGCGUGUUCCACGAGGAUCCCGGCCAAGCUGUGUACCUAGGAAGCUUCGCCGUAGUCCGCUGGUGCUGUAGAAGGCCUUAGGUUGCGCUCUACCGGUCUGAGGGCUCCGGCGUAACGCCGAGCACCUCCGCCGAGCCGCCAUCGUCGACGGCGAGCCCCUUCCGGUGGCUCCGCCGUGGGGAAAAGGGGGUCAAUCGAGUCGCUAGGGUUUGGGGAUCACGCUGAUGCCCUUGGUUUGGCCGGAGACCUCGCCGUCGCGGAGGAAUCGCCAACGAAAGUCGCCUCGGCCGUGAGGAAGAAGAACCUGACAGAUGGGGUCCACUGUCAGUGUCACCUCUUUCCCUCCUUUUCUUUUAUUCAAAAUCCUGAUUUUUGGCUUUCUUACAAAAAUCAUAUCUCCUGUUUCUGAGAUCCAAAAAUUGUGAAACAAGUUUUGUGGUAUUCCUUGAGAUGGCUAGUUUUUAAUAAAAAUAUAAAAUGAACCAUGUUUUCUGGGAAAUUAUUUAUUAAGGAUUUAAUCUUGUUAUUCAUGGAUAAAUGUAUAUCUCUUGUUAUACUACUUAGUUUACUCUGAAAAUUUUAUGGUAGUCUCUGUAUGGUAUGAGAGUGCUUUGGUAAAUAUUUCAGUAUUUUUGGAGCACUGCAGCUUUGUUAUGUAAUUUAUGAUUGAAAUGUGGCUUGUUUCUUUAAUUAAAUCGUAUAAAAUAAUUGGUGCUUAUGCUGGUGCUCUACUUUGGUAGUAAACAUAUUCAUGAUAUUUCUCAUAUAUAAAUAAUCUGAAAUCUGUUGUUUGGUACCAUAUAAGUCAUGUUUCUGAAUUUAUGAAAUAAACACCUAGGCACAUGUUAAAUACAUAUCUUUAUUUUGGUAUGUGCAUUUGCUCUGAAAUUUUUAUGGUGAUGCUCUGAUGUUAUACUUGUGCCUCUGUAAUUUUUGUAGAUUUUUCUGAGCACUCUAACUAGUAUCUUGUAAAUAUGCUCUUAUCUAGAGUUAAUUAAUAAAUACCUUGUUAAGUAGAUGUUUUGGGGUUUGCAUCUGAUGAUCUGGUAACUUUGUAAUAUGUUUGUGCUCAUAGGCCAUGUGGUUGGCAUGGUUUGUGUUUGGAUCAUGUCAUUAAAUAAUUAACUAUAGGGUUAAAUGCUGUUCUGGACAGCAAGGGAGCAAUUUAGCUGUUACUUAAUGAUAACUUGACUUUCUGUGAAACUUUUCUAAAUCAAAGUUGUUCUAAACUGUUGAACUAGCUGUGGUUUAAAUUUGAGGUCAUUUGGCCAAGUGGUUUAAAAGUUAGAGCUGUUCCAAGUUGGGUUCCAGAAAUAGGUACUCUCUGUUUUUCUGGAACAGAACCUGGAACUUUGUUUAAAUGGCUAGUUUCAUGUAUGAAUCUUGCUGUCAUGUUUAAAGAUGAGUUGUAGACAAUUUCAUAAGCUUUCCAGAAUGUCUUCACUCAUGUUUGUUGGACCUGUCUAUCUUUAGUUAUGAUUUAUUUACUGAGCAUACUUGUUUUGUGUUGUUUGCUGCUUUAGUGCCAUGAUAGGUUUUGGGUUAUGUUAACUUAUUUAUUUGUGUGAGUUAGUAUAACCCUUGCUCCGUAAAUGAGUGUCCAGUGAGUUACUUGUGUUAUCAAGCAUUCAUCUCUAGCAUGUGCAUCUUCUUAUUGUUCGAGCAUGCAAUAGGUGCAUCGGACGCGACAGCCUCCUACGAGCUGCAAGUGAAUCCCGAAGGCCAGGAGGGCAGCCAGGAGGUGGAGGUCCAGCAAGCCGGACUCGAGGAGCCCGAAGAAGAAGUUGAGUGCCCGAAUCACGAGCCGGCAUCGUUCGUGAAAGGCAAGCCCCGGAGCAUUCUAAGUCUUCCUUUAUUUUCGAAAGUUCACUUAAUAUGUUCUAUCUAUUGAUGCAUUACGUAUAGGAGUUGUGAUGAAACUGUUGCUACAUUCUACUCUAUCCUUGUCCAGAUAACUCACCACACCCUGGGUGUAGAGUUAGGAUCGAGUAGCAGCUUAGCCAUGCUUUAAUCGGUAGAAGUCGGGUGAUAUCCUGUCACCUGCGCGAUAUAGGGUUAUGUCGGAUCACGAUGGUCUAUAUGUGCUAUCGUGGAUGGAACCUGAUUAAAUUGACUUAAGCCGGGCGGAGUUUGCAAGUUGGUAGUAACUCCGUCUGUGGCAGCUAAGGACCGAUCGUUGUACGUCCUCUUGUCAUGUUGAACGCAUGCCUAACACUUAGUUGGCCGGAUAACUCGUUCCGACAGCGAAGCCGAGUAGUAUGACUCAGGCCGGAAGACCGGCAAGUAUAAAGUGCGCACUACCGGAGGAAGUGCGGUGUGCGGGGGACCAUUGGCGUAAGCCCAAAGGCAGGUGAGUUAAAAUUCCUGACCUCCCUGGCAGAGUGGUAGCCCUGGGAGUGCGGCGCUGAUCGGAGCCGCGAUUCCUGAGUUGUACCAAAGGUGACCCGUUGGCUCUCCGGCAGGGGAUGCUUGGGUGAGUGCUAGGAAUAAUCCUCCAGCUGGAUAGGAAUUCGAUUCGAAUUGCCGUCUCUCCCGGUUAGUGAGAACUUGACAGAGCAGCGGCAAACAUAGCAUCCACUAAUGAACUUGGUUCCUGGAAAUGAUGAUAGCAGGAAGAACAUAUGAUGAACUUGAUAUGGUUAUUAUUGCUUGUAAUAAUCAAGUGAUGUGUUGUAGUACAGGUGCUAAUCUAGUGGUAGGCUGACGAUAAAUAAAUAUGAUGCUCUCAAAGUAACUUAGUCGUAAGUUAAGCUUUUGGCAAAAGGUGAGUCAACCAGCUCCACUUGAUAUUUAGCCUUGCAUGAUCCUUGGUGUCUUUUAUGUUUUACUAGACGGGUAAGUCUAGCUGAGUACAUUCUCGUAUUCAGGGUUUAUUCCCACCUGUUGCAGAUGAUAUCUUUUAUGACGGAUUCUGCAAGACCUGUCUCCAUCCCGCUAGGGAUGAGGACUAACCGUUGGGCACGGUUCUCUAACCAUCUCGACUCUGAUGCUUUUGGAAGGAUGGCAUAGACUCUGGCAGUAACCCGAACUAUGAACUGAACUUUGGAAUGAGUGUGUAACUAUUUUGCUUCCACUAUUUCGAACAAGGGUUAUAAUAACUUAAUACUCCGAUGUGGUGCCGCUUCGACGGCAACGUAUGACUAUGUAACAUUCGUUGUGUUUAUGUUGAACUAUUACGAUCUUGGUUUGUUGCGAGUUGGUUUGAAGUCCUUCGUGAUUUCAAUUGACUACCGGGAUUAUAUGGGCUCAAGUUUGGAAACUUGAUUGCUUGUCGAUCGUUUCUGCACUUGAACUCUUAUAAUUUGGUCGGUUCUGUGACAGCUGGCAUCGGAGCAAGUUCAGCAUUAUAAAUGCAGCGUUUGUGUAUUUGAAAUAAAAGAGUUUUUAAAUAAAAUGGGGUAAAACAAAUAAUUAAGUUAUGCCAGUGGUCGAAUCCUCCUUCCCCACAUAAGGACUAUAGGUGGCUAUUUAAGUACUGACUUGGGGGGUUUUAUUUAUGCAUCUCCGGCAGUACUCAGGUAUGGAUGUGUGAUGACCGCACUAUGCUACCCUGUGGUCUAAUGGUGGAGGUAGCCUUCAUAUGUGAAUUAGCCACAUAUGUCGCUAGAUUUAAAUUAUGCAACAUCGCACCUACGCCCUGGUAAGUGUGAGCUGUGAGAGCAUGAUCGUCCAAAUGGCGGUCUAGGGGAGUGUUCGUGGUGGUUUUCUGGAGUGGUUACAUGUCGAAACCAUAGAACUACGAAAGAAACUUAAUUGGGGAGUAUUUAAUUUCUCAGGUAGUUGUGGUGUCAUUGUUUGAGCAUGUUGUCAUGCCCAAGCGAUGUGCACUUAGUUUACUGCUUUCUUGAGUGAUAUAUUGGGAAUUAUUGGGCUGAAAUAAAGUUUUCUGCAGGUACUCUAACAGCGCACGUGUAAACCGAUAGUUAUCGUAUCGAGAGCCGAAUGUAUGCCACCGUAUAUCCGUUAGAAUAUUAAUUUUCUAAGUUUGUGAGGAUGUACGGUUCGUGCAUGCAUCAUGUCGCAUUCAUACAUACCUUCUGUCUACUCCUUCCCUUACAAUUUCGUCCCUUUUAAAUAAAUAAAUGUUGCUUAAACUAAUCCUCUUUUACCCAUGGUAUUCCUAUUCCUUUCCACAGAUGGACGCACCCGCUUCACCCCGUCCCAGUGACACUUUCUUGCACGAGUUUGGCACUCCUACCCUGCUCUGGAGAGUGUUACGGACUGUUGGGUAUACUGAGCCACCUCAGUAUUCUUGGUGGGAGAUGGAGAGCACAGGAGGGAUCCAGUGGUUUGCUGUGCAGGGAGUUGUUCCUCCACAUGGGGACAAGCCUGCAUGGACAGGCUGGACUUGCAGCUCAGAUGGGCAGACUCCCUGGGAGGCAGCUCAGGUUGCAGCCCAGACUAUCCUGCUCGAUAUCUGUCAGAGGUGUGGUGAUGAGCUGACGGGAGGACCAGCAGCCUCCAUUCCUAGUGCUGACCCAGCAGCAGCGGAGUGGAAACAGGCUGCCGGUUGUGCUUUGGUUCGAGGCAGGGGAGAGAGAGCUGAGAGUUCUAGUCCUGCUAUGAGUGCUAUGAUGGCUGUGCUCAAGCUGAUUAGUCAGCGAGAGGGCACCUAUGCACAGGUGAUGGUGGCUGUUCGCAGGGCCCAGGAGAUGCAGCGGAAGGCUGAAAAGCGUGCUCGCAAGUUUCGCAAGCAAGCUAGGCUCCUGGAGCAAGCUCAGAAGGACCGCAAUGACUGGGAGGACAUUGCGGAGUACCGUAGGCAGCAGUGGGUGAAGGCCAUUAGAGAGAGAGAUCAUAAGCAGGAUCAGAUGAGCCAGUUAGCUAGAGAGAGGGAGACCUUACAGGAGCGCUUGGUGCAGCUCACUCGUGAGAGGGAUACUGCACUCCGUGUGUCGGAGAACAGGCGCCAAGCAUGGGAGAUGCACCGAGUUCAGUCGCUUGAGCGGGAGAACUAUCUGCAGGAUCAGAUUGAGGCUGGUCUUGUGGAGAUUCACCGUCUCAACAACUUGCUACACCCUAUUCCUCGCCCUAUACCCGUGUAUCCAGAGGUGGGACCUCAGGUGAUUGUGGCCGAAGAUGAUGGUAUGGAGGUCGAGGGACCAGCAGCGGCUGCGCCACCUUUGCACGAGGACGUGGAGGACGAGGAGCUUGAGCCGGUUAGCGACGAGGAUGGAGAGGCAAUCUUCGAUGCUGACUCAGAGGACGAGCCUGGAGUGUAGGGAGUAGUGAGUAGUGUCUUGUGAGGAUCUUUUGCAGUAUGCUAGUCAGCCGUGGUGCUUUUGUAACCAUGUUGCAAUCCGAAACUUUGACCUUGACUCAUGGCAUGUACUGUGAUGGUGUAAUAACUUUGUGGACCCCAAUGUGCAAUCUUAGCAUGUUUGUUAUGUUAUGACGAUGUUUUCCGUUGUGGUGCAUAUUGCGGAUAUCUCUGUCAUGUGUUGGAUUGGUGAUGUUGUUUUGUGGAAUUGAAUUAUUGUGCCUUUUCUGUAAAGCUAUUCUCUUGAAUACUUUCAGGCAUGAAUAUAAGUUCUUCUGCGGCAAAUCUUGUCAUCAUCAAUGCCACUGACUGUGUCUUUACAGAUGUCUCACGGCACCCGAGGUGCGGAACAGCGUGCAAACAUGAAUCCACCACCUCCUCCUCCACCACCCAAUCCUGCUGAGUUAAUGCAAAUGAUGGUGGAAAAUCAGAGGAUGCUCACUGAGACCAUCAAUCGGAUGGCAAAUCCGGGUGGUCGUAAUGCACACGAAGGGCCUGCUCCUAACCAGUACAGUAGCUUCAAGGAUUUCAUGGAUACGAAGCCCCCACCCUUCAGAGAAGCUGAAGAACCCCUUCAAGCUGAGGAAUGGCUGAACACGGUGGAACAAAAGUUCCGGUUGCUUCGGUUGACUGAAGGUCUGAAGGCAGAGUAUGCAGCUCACCAACUGCAAGGACCGGCAGGCAUCUGGUGGAAUCAGUAUCGGGAAGCUCUUCCAGCCGACACCGCGAUUGAUUGGAAUCUCUUCCGUGAGGCUUUCAAAGGGCAUUUCAUUCCUCCUGGUGUUAUGGAGAUGAAGCACACCGAGUUCAUGCAGUUGACUCAGGGUAACAAGACUCUGAAGGAGUAUUUGCAUGCUUUCAAUCAUUUGUCAAGGUAUGCUCCUGAGUUUGUGAACACGGAGACGAAAAAGAUUGCUAGUUUCAAGCGGGGUUUGGGCCCCAAAUUGCUGAAGACUAUGGGCUGCACUAAGUGUGCAACUUUCAAUGAGUUUGUCAGUGAUGCUCUCACUCAAGAGAACUAUAACACUGUGUACACUGCGACCAAGACUCGCAAGAGGACCUUUGAGGCCGGUGCCGGGUCAUCUCAGUCCAAGGCUCCAGUGGCAGCCAAGCCACCGUUCCGUGCUCCAACACCCAACCAGCGAUACCGCCCUCCGAUGAAGAAGAAUCAGGCCAAGACGGGUUUUCGCAAGGGGUACUCUAUUGCUCUUCCUAGGGGCAACACGGGUCCCAACUAUGCCAGGACUCCACCUGCCAACCGUCCGUGCUGGAACUGCAAUCAGACCGGGCAUUGGCAGAGCAACUGUCCUUACCCGCCAAAGAAGGGCAACCAAGGGAACGUCUGUCAGGGGCGUGUUCACUACACGACUGUGGAAGCAAUCCCUGCUGGUGAGGUAGUCAUGGCUGGUAAGUUUCUGGUCAAUCAACAUGACGCACUUGUGCUUUUUGAUUCUGGGGCAUCGCAUUCGUUUGUGAGUUCUGAAUUUGUGUCUAAGCAUAACAUCAAAGCCGUUACACUUGAUAAGGGCAGUUAUUAUAUUAGUGCUGCGGGGAAUGAUAUUUCCACCAAUCAAGUGGUUUUGGGGGCAACUCUGGAAAUAGGAGGCCGUCAGUUUCUUGCUGAUUUAGUUGUUCUACCCGGUGUGGGCAUAGAGGUGAUUCUGGGGAUGAAGUGGAUGAGUGGUAAUGGAGUUCUUAUCAACACCACCACUCGUGUAGUGAUGUUGAAAGACCCAAAUACCAAGGAGGCAUUUCUAGUGCAACUCCCUCGUGAUAUUCAAAUCCGUAGCACUGUGAAUGCAGUUACAUCUAAGGCUAUUCAGGAUAUUCCGGUGGUGUGUGAGUUUCCGGAUGUUUUUCCUGAUGAUCUUCCCGGGCUUCCUCCGGAUCAGGAUGUGGAGUUCAAGAUUGAAUUGAUUCCUGGUACCGCUCCUAUCUCUAGAAGACCUUAUAGGAUGCCACCCAAUGAAUUAGCUGAGCUUAAGACCCAGCUAAAUGAGUUGUUGAAGAAGGGUCUUAUUCGUCCUAGUUCUUCUCCUUGGGGUUGCCCAGCUAUCUUUGUGAAGAAGAAGGAUCAAUCUUUGCGCAUGUGUGUGGACUAUCGUCCCCUAAAUGCGGUGACUAUCAAGAACAAAUACCCUCUUCCUCGCAUUUAUAUUUUGUUUGAUCAGUUGUCUAAAGCUAAGGUAUUCUCCAAGAUUGAUUUGCGAUCUGGGUACCAUCAGAUCAAGAUCCGUCCUGAAGAUGUACCUAAGACAGCUUUCUCGACGAGGUAUGGGUUGUAUGAGUAUCUCGUCAUGUCCUUCGGUCUUACAAAUGCACCUGCUCACUUCAUGUAUCUCAUGAAUUCGGUGUUCAUGCCCGAAUUGGACAAGUUUGUGGUGGUCUUCAUUGAUGAUAUCUUGGUAUAUUCCUGCAAUGAAGAGGAGCAUGCAGAGCAUCUGUGUGUAGUGUUGUCGCGUUUGCGCGAACAUCACCUUUAUGCCAAGUUCAGCAAAUGCGAGUUUUGGCUGAAGAGAGUACCUUUCUUGGGCCAUGUCUUAUCUGAAGAAGGCAUAUCGGUGGAUCCAGCCAAGGUGCAAGAGGUGCUGGAUUAGAAAGUUCCAACUUCAGUACACGAGGUUCAGAGUUUUCUCGGUCUUGCUGGAUAUUAUCGUCGAUUCAUUCCAGAAUUCUCAAAGAUAUCCAAGCCUAUGACUCGUCUACUUCAGAAAGAUGAAAAGUUUGUGUGGACACCUGAGUGUGAAGAGGCAUUCCACAAGUUGAGGACAUUGCUGACAUCAGCUCCUGUCCUAGCUCAGCCUGAUAUCGAGAAGCCCUUCGAUGUCUUUUGUGACGCAUCAGGCAUUGGUUUAGGCUGUGUGUUGAUGUAGGAAGGUCGCGUUAUCGCGUAUGCCUCGCGCCAACUUCGAAAGCAUGAGGUCAAUUACCCUACUCAUGACUUAGAAUUGGCAGCAGUUGUUCAUGCUUUGAAAAUCUGGAGGCAUUAUCUGCUGGGUAAUCUGUGUAAUAUCUACACCAAUCAUAAGAGUCUCAAGUAUAUCUUCACUCAACCUGAACUGAACAUGCGGCAGUGAAGGUGGCUUGAGUUGAUUAAAGAUUAUAAUCUACAAGUGCACUAUCAUCCGGGCAAGGCAAACGUGGUGGCGGAUGCCUUGAGUCGGAAAGCGCACUGUCACUCAAUUCAAGUGGAAGAUCCGUUGUUGUUACGUCUUAUGCAUCCACUUGUGCUUCACCAGAUUUCUCUGGAGAGUACCAUUCGCAAUCGAGUCAUCGAAUUGCAGCGGACAGAUGUAGGCAUCCACCAUAUAAAGAGGAAAAUGAAGGAAGAAGAAACCAAGCAUUUUCGGGUCGAUGAGAACGGAAUUCUUUGGUUCAAGGAUCGACUUGUGGUCCCAAAAGACCGCGAGCUGCGAAAUCAGAUCUUAUCUGAAGCUCAUUCAUCCAAAUUGUCUAUCCAUCCUGGUAGUAGCAAGAUGUAUCAGGAUUUAAAACCAUUGUUUUGGUGGACAAAGAUGAAAAAGGAGAUAGCUGCUUUUGUCGCUCGUUGUGACAAUUGUUGUCGUGUGAAGGCUGUUCACAUGAAAGCUGGUUUGCUUCAACCCUUAUCAAUUCCUUGUUGGAAAUGGGAAGAAGUCAGCAUGGAUUUCAUCAGUGGACUCCCAACUUCUGUUAAGGGUUAUGACUCCAUAUGGGUGAUUGUAGAUCGUUUGACCAAGGUUGCUCGAUUUAUUCCAGUUCGAACUGACUAUCGUCCCCAUCAGUAUGCGGAGUUGUAUUUCGAGCACAUUGUCCGUCAGUAUGGUGUGCCUCGAACAAUCAUAUCCGAUCGUGGACCACAGUUCACUGCUCGUUUUUGGGAAUGUCUACAUGAGCAAAUUGGUACUCAUUUAGUCCGUAGCUCUGCUUAUCAUCCCCAAACGGCCGGUCAGAUUGAACGAGUUAACCAAAUCCUUGAAGAUAUGUUGAGGGCAUGUGCUCUCUCAUCAAAAGGAUCUUGGGUUAAGUGGUUGCCAUUAGCUGAGUUCUCCUACAACAAUAGUUAUCAGGAGAGUAUCAAGAUGGCUCCAUUUGAAGCCUUGUACGGUCGGAAGUGUCGAACCCCGUUGAAUUGGGUAGAAGCUAGAGAGCGAAGGUAUUAUGGCAUCAAUUUCGUGAACGAAGCAGAGCAGAAAGUCCGUACUAUCCAGCAACAUCUGGAAGCUGCUCAAGCUCGUCAGAAAAGUUAUGCCGACAAGAGAAGGAAGCCGAUUGAGUUUUCAGUUGGUGACCAUGUGUACAUCAAGGUGUCUCCGAUGAAGGGUGUACAAAGGUUCGGAGUCAAGCGAAAGCUUGCACCUCGCUAUGUGGGACCUUAUCGGAUUCUCGAAAAGAAAGGGAAUGUGGCAUACAAGGUUCAACUUCCAGUUGCGGUUCGAGCUAUUUUUCCUGUCUUCCACGUAUCACAAUUGAAGAAGUGCCUUCGUGUACCGGAGGAACGAGUGGAAGUUCGAGAUAUCAAGUUGAAGUCAGACUUGGUGUAUGAGGAGAAACCCAUAGCGGUUCUUGAUCGCAAGGAACGGGAGACGCGUAAUCGUGUGGUUAAGCUCUGCAAAGUGUUGUGGAGCAACCACGGGGAGGAAGAUCCUACUUGGGAGACGGAGGAUUAUUUAAAAGAAGUUUACAAAACCUUCUUCGAAAAUCAGUAAGCUUUCAAAUCUCGGGACGAGAUUUUUGUAAGGGGGGAGGGCUAUAACACACCAGUGUUAUGGUUGCAUUAAUCAUGUGCAUAGCAUAAGCAUCAUCAUCUACUCAAAGCAUAUCAUGAUCAUCAUCUAUCUUGAGCCAUGUCAUUUUAUGCAAAAAUGUGUUUUAAAUUGCUUAGAUAGGCUUCCUAUGCUUAUGUUUGAGUGAACCAUGCUUGUGUUUGUGCUUAAUGCCUUGGUAAUUAGUUUAUCUAUGUUUAACUUGACUUUGGGAACAAUGUUCAUGUUGGUCACUUCUCCAAAAUAUGCCCUUAAGUCAUACUUAUGAAAAUAGGCCCUAGAAACCUCUUUUGCAUAGGCUUUUAAAAAGUGUUUCAUAAAAUGUUUGCAUGUCAAAACUUUCUACAGAAAAGUUGUAGCAAAUUUUAUAAGGAACAAAAGUUGUUUUAUGGCCAUCUCAUGAAAAUGAACACCAAUAGCUUAAAAGUGACCCACAAGGCAGAUUUGGGGCUGUUUCCAACACUUAGAAAUUUUUCUAAGUCCGGGAACGGAACCAGUUUGCUUGAUCGGUUUUGAAAACUCUAUAUCUUUCAAUCCAGGCCGAUCUGGCCUUUGCUCCAAUUGACAAAGUUGUAGAACUCAGUUGGAACUCCAACUUUGUCAACUACACCGUCCUCUAAUUCGUUCUGGUUUGGGAGUAAAUCGUUGCCAAAGUAGCUCUGUCAGUCGGCCAUCGUUUUGUCUGAAUCGGUUUGAAGCUCGCCGACGUGGCCGACCGGCGGCAGCGCAACGGCGACAUUUGGCGCCCGUACGCCGUUCCUGGCCCCGCCUGUCAGCUUCCGUCGCGUGCAUGACCUCCAUGGCGUCGCCCACGCCGAGUGGACGCGUCCACUUCGCUCUCCCUCGCCCUGCUCGCCAGAAACGCGGCCGCCGAGAGCUCUCCUCCGCGAGCUUACUCCGGCGAGCUCGUGCGCGUUCCCUGCUGCGCCAUUGCCCACCAAACUUCACCCAAAGCUCCGCCGUGAACCGCUCUCCAAUCUCCACCCUCUAACUCGCCGAGAAACCCACCGGUGAGCCGACAUUUCCUUCUUCCCCCAAAUCGGGUCGCCGUGACCUUCUUCUUCGGCGAACUCAAUGCCGAGCUCUGUGAAGCCUCUCGUCGUCUCUGGUCAGGUCCUAGAAGUAGCUUAGGUCCUUAGCGAGCUUUUGCGCCACUUGGUGGACGCUCUACCGAGCUCUCCGUCGCCGGACACGGUGCGCAGCGCCGCCGUGCUUCCGCCGGAGAUGGGUGCUCUCGUGGCCAGCGUGUUCCACGAGGAUCCAGGCCAAGCUGUGUACCUAGGAAGCUUCGCCGUAGUCUGCUGGUGCUGUAGAAGGCCUUAGGUUGCGCUCUAGCGGCGUGAGGGCUCCGGCGUAACGCCGAGCACCUCCGCCGAGCCGCCAUCGUCGACGGCGAGCCCCUUCCGGUGGCUCCGCCGUGGGGAAAAGGGGGUCAAUCGAGUCGCUAGGGUUUGGGGAUCACGCUGAUGCCCUUGGUUUGGCCGGAGACCUCGCAGUCGCGGAGGAAUCGCCGGCGAAAGUCGCCUCGGCCGUGAGGAAGAAGAACCUGACAGAUGGGGUCCACUGUCAGUGUCACCUCUUUCCCUCCUUUUCUUUUAUUCAAAAUCCUGAUUUUUGGCUUUCUUGCAAAAAUCAUAUCUCCUGUUUCUGAGAUCCAAAAAUUGUGAAACAAAUUUUGUGGUAUUCCUUGAGAUGGCUAGUUUUUAAUAAAAAUAUAAAAUGAACCAUGUUUUCUGGGAAAUUAUUUAUUAAGGAUUUAAUCUUGUUAUUCAUGGAUAAAUGUAUAUCUCUUGUUAUACUGCUUAGUUUACUCUGAAAAUUUUAUGGUAGUCUCUGUAUGGUAUGAGAGUGCUUUGGUAAAUAUUUCAGUAUUUUUGGAGCACUGCAGCUUUGUUAUGUAAUUUAUGAUUGAAAUGUGGCUUGUUUCUUUAAUUAAAUCGUAUAGAAUAAUUGGUGCUUAUGCUGGUGCUCUACUUUGGUAGUAAACAUAUUCAUGAUAUUUCUCAUAUAUAAAUAAUCUGAAAUCUGUUGUUUGGUACCAUAUAAGUCAUGUUUCUGAAUUUAUGAAAUAAACACCUAGGCACAUGUUAAAUACAUAUCUUUAUUUUGGUAUGUGCAUUUGCUCUGAAAUUUUUAUAGUGAUGCUCUGAUGUUAUACUUGUGCCUCUGUAAUUGUUGUAGAUUUUUCUGAGCACUCUAACUAGUAUCUUGUAAAUAUGCUCUUAUCUAGAGUUAAUUAAUAAAUACCUUGUUAAGUAGAUGUUUUGGGGUUUCCAUCUGAUGAUCUGGUAACUUUGUAAUAUGUUUGUGCUCAUAGGCCAUGUGGUUGGCAUGGUUUGUGUUUGGAUCAUGUCAUUAAAUAAUUAACUAUAGGGUUAAAUGCUGUUCUGGACAGCAAGGGAGCAAUUUAGCUGUUACUUAAUGAUAACUUGACUUUCUGUGAAACUUUUCUAAAUCAAAGUUGUUCUAAACUGUUGAACUAGCUGUGGUUUAAAUUUGAGGUCAUUUGGCCAAGUGGUUUAAAAGUUAGAGCUGUUCCAAGUUGGGUUCCAGAAAUAGGUACUCUCUGUUUUUCUGGAACAGAACCUGGAACUUUGUUUAAAUAGCUAGUUUCAUGUAUGAAUCUUGCUGUCAUGUUUAAAGAUGAGUUGUAGACAAUUUCAUAAGCUUUCCAGAAUGUCUUCACUCAUGUUUGUUGGACCUGUCUAUCUUUAGUUAUGAUUUAUUUACUGAGCAUACUUGUUUUGUGUUGUUUGCUGCUUUAGUGUCAUGAUAGGUUUUGGGUUAUGUUAACUUAUUUAUUUGUGUGAGUUAGUAUAACCCUUGCUCCGUAAAUGAGUGUCCAGUGAGUUACUUGUGUUAUCAAGCAUUCAUCUCUAGCAUGUGCAUCUUCUUAUUGUUCGAGCAUGCAAUAGGUGCAUCGGACGCGACAGCCUCCUACGAGCUGCAAGUGAAUCCCGAAGGCCAGGAGGGCAGCCAGGAGGUGGAGGUCCAGCAAGCCGGACUCGAGGAGCCCGAAGAAGAAGUUGAGUGCCCGAAUCACGAGCCGGCAUCGUUCGUGAAAGGCAAGCCCCGGAGCAUUCUAAGUAUUCCUUUAUUUUCGAAAGUUCACUUAAUAUGUUCUAUCUAUUGAUGCAUUACGUAUAGGAGUUGUGAUGAAACUGUUGCUGCAUUCUACUCUAUCCUUGUCCAGAUAACUCACCACACCCUGGGUGUAGAGUUAGGAUCGAGUAGCAGCUUAGCCAUGCUUUAAUCGGUAGAAGUCGGGUGAUAUCCUGUCACCUGCGCGAUAUAGGGUUAUGUCGGAUCACGAUGGUCUAUAUGUGCUAUCGUGGAUGGAACCUGAUUAAAUUGACUUAAGUCGGGCAGAGUUUGCAAGUUGGUAGUAACUCCGUCUGUGGCAGCUAAGGACCGAUCGUUGUACGUCCUCUUGUCAUGUUGAACGCAUGCCUAACACUUAGUUGGCCGGAUAACUCGUUCCGACCGCGAAGCCGAGUAGUAUGACUCAGGCCGGAAGACCGGCAAGUAUAAAGUGCGCACUACCGGAGGAAGUGCGGUGUGCGGGGGACCAUUGGCGUAAGCCCAAAGGCAGGUGAGUUAAAAUUCCUGACCUCCCUGGCAGAGUGGUAGCCCUGGGAGUGCGGCGCUGAUCGGAGCCGCGAUUCCUGAGUUGUACCAAAGGUGACCCGUUGGCUCUCCGGCAGGGGAUGCUUGGGUGAGUGCUAGGAAUAACCCUCCAGCUGGAUAGGAAUUCGAUUCGAAUCGCCGUCUCUCCCGGUUAGUGAGAACUUGACAGAGCAGCGGCAAACGUAGCAUCCACUAAUGAACUUGGUUCCUGGAAAUGAUGAUAGUAGGAAGAACAUAUGAUGAACUUGAUAUGGUUAUUAUUGCUUGUAAUAAUCAAGUGAUGUGUUGUAGUACAGGUGCUAAUCUAGUGGUAGGCUGAUGAUAAAUAAAUAUGAUGCUCUCAAACUAACUUAGUCGUAAGUUAAGCUUUUGGCAAAAGGUGAGUCAACCAGCUCCACUUGAUAUUUAGCCUUGCAUGAUCCUUGGUGUCUUUUAUGUUUUACUAGACGGGUAAGUCUAGCUGAGUACAUUCUCGUACUCAGGGUUUAUGCCCACCUGUUGCAGAUGAUAUCUUUUAUGACGGAUUCUGCAAGACCUGUCUCCAUCCCGCUGGGGAUGAGGACUAACCGUUGGGCACGGUUCUCUAACCAUCUCGACUCUGAUGCUUUUGGAAGGAUGGCAUAGACUCUGGCAGUAACCCGAACUAUGAACUGAACUUUGGAAUGAGUGUGUAACUCUUUUGCUUCCGCUAUUUCGAACAAGGGUUGUAAUAACUUAAUACUCCGAUGUGGUGCCGCUUCGACGGCAAUGUAUGACUAUGUAACAUUCGUUGUGUUUAUGUUGAACUAUUACGAUCUUGGUUUGUUGCGAGUUGGUUUGAAGUCCUUCGUGAUUUCAAUUGACUACCGAGAUUAUAUGGGCUCAAGUUUGGAAACUUGAUUGCUUGUCGAUCGUUUCUGCACUUGAACUCUUAUAAUUUGGUCGGUUCUGUGACAGGCGCCGCCGGAAGCACCGACUACGCCAUCCAACAAAUCCCAGGACGACUAAGAAAACGGAGAGUCCCGUUCGGAGGACUUAAAAACACCGAACACCUUGCCAACAGGUAACCGUGGUAGUUAUCCUUUCCCUUUCAAAUAUUUGAAAUAGUUUAUUCAGUUAAUUAGGUUCAUACUAUCCUAAAAAGAAAAUGAAAAUGUUAAAAAUAGUAAGCCCCAUGUGAGUAUACGAGUGGCGUAAAACCCAUAAGUACAUUCACUGUGGUGGCAUAAAAAUAAAAUAAAUAUUUGUUUUCUGCUUUAUAAAAUAAAAAUAUAAAAAUAGAGAGUAACAUUUAUUAAGGAGGCUCAACAUGAUAAAGGCUAGAUAUUUACGCUAACACCUAAUCAGUUCCACAAAGCUUUGUUGUCUAUUUGAGCUCCACAGAAUUUAAGAAUCAAGAAGACUAGCAGACGGAGGACAUUCUUAUCGCUGUUAGGAUACUGCCGACUUUCAAAUACACCUCUGUCACCUACUAGCUACAUCAGGAGAAAUUACGUCAAAAUUCAGCUUGGGGGAGAGCACCCCCAUUUAUCUCGCUAAGUAUUUCUAUCUAUCUUUAUACUUAUACUAUAUUAAAAUAUAAAUAUACAUAACUACGAAAAAACCAAAUAAAGAUUUUAUGCUUUUAUAUAUAUAUAUAUAUAUAUAUAUAUAUAUAUAUAUAUAUAUAUAUAUAUAUAUAUAUAUCUUUUGCUUAGUAUGUUUAAUAAAUAAAUAAAGUGGCUAUGCUAAACUGAAUCUUAAUAAUAAAACUCUAGCAUGGAUAUGAUAAAUAGUUACUCUGCCUAAUUUUAAUAUUUGAGUUCUCUCUCAAGUUUAGACAUAACUGUUAUAAUUUAAAGCUUGCUCUAAACUUAAACUUGUGGGAAGAAAACUUGAUCUGAAGUCUAAGUUGUUAGCGGAUAUGAUAUGGGAAGGUUGAGCUGCUGUUUAUCUGUUCCUAGAGAUGCUAGAAUUCUGGAGAAUUUUAUCUUUUAAAUUUUUAAAAUAUCACAUGACGAGUUCCUGUAUGAUAAGAGUUUAAAUUCCUACCACAGCCAUAUAUACAUGCUUGCUAGACUUUGAGCCACACAUUUACUUUUUACUACUUAUGAGCAUUGAGUGUGGUCAAGCUGUGUAGACCCUUAGGAGCUUGUCAUGUGGUUAAAUCAAGAUUCACUUGCACGUUCAUUCACACAUGCUGCUUCUACUCCAGAAGUACGCAUCCAUAUAUAUCUACUCAUUUCCAUCUCCAGAAUCACCCAAAAAUAUUCUACUCCUAAUCUGGGAGAGAAUAGCCAAAAAUAUUUCUGUAUUUCCCUGUGAAAUAAAUGCUCAAGUUAUCUUGGUUACUACCACUUGCUAUAUUAUUUCAGGAGAUGAGUGCUCUAAAAAAAGACAAAUACGAGGAAAUAAAAAGGGGCAAGUGCCCGGAACCUCGAAAGAAAAGAAAAAGUAAGACGAGAGGUAAAAAUGGACAAGUGUCCAACAGUAGAAUUAGGGGUACAAAAUACCCACCUGAGAGGAAAAAAAAAGAAAAUAUAGAGCAUCUCAUUCUCCCCUAAAGUUUCAAAAGAGCAAGAAAGGUAUACAUCCCCUCAAAAGAGCAAAAGUAGAAUUAGACUUUCACCAUUGUUAUCACCAUCAUCACCAUACACCAUUCAUUCGCCACACAUGCACAUCUUGAUUUGACUUAUUGACUUGUUUCUUUGGAUCCAUGGUUUGACUAUACAAUAAAUGUCUUGUAAGUAUGUAUACUUUAUCUCCCACCUAUGAGCUCCAGAUAUCAAAAGCUUUAUUAGAGUAGGGUGAGAGAGAAGGCAAUGUUACUAUGCUUUAUACCAUAAAUACUACAUAUUUUGAGAGAAGGCAUAUACCAUCACUGCCUUGGUAAGGAUCCAGAAAUACCACAAAAGAAAGAUCUGAGAGAGUCAUACAAAGGAAUCUCUGAGUUUUAUUUGAAAAUAUGCAAAAACUCCAGAGCUAUAGCUGAUCAAGAAUAAGAGACAUGGCACUUGACUAGACUGUUCUAUCUUUUAACUACUCAAGACAGAAGUGACGGUUACAAGUCCUAUGGCGAAAGGUAAAGUAAGUAAGUUUUAAGUCUUGACAGUUUACUCUAACUCAGAGAUGGGAUCUUAUUUAAAAGCAUGUGUACCGCCAACUUUUAAAGGCAUUACAACAACUUCUGAUCUAUCGCUAAGAUUAUCCUUGCUCAGGGACAAGCAAGAGGUAAGCUUGGGGGAGUUUGUUGAUGGUCCCUAAGUAUCAAAUUUAAUUAUCAAAUAAACAAAGAAAAGGAUCCAAAUGAAAUCAACAUCCAGACUUAGGGUUUUAUCUGACAGAAUUCCACGAGUUUUGGUGUUUGUCUAUUUCUGCAGGGGGUUAUCAGGAAAUACGGAAGAAAGGCCCACAUGCGGGGAUUACAUAGAGAUAUUAACGAGCCGCGCAAUUAUCUUACAUCUAGAAGACUCCAGAAGCCACGGGAACGAAGCGGAGGCAGAACGGAGCCUGGCCCAGGGCGCCCGCCCUAGGGACCAGGGCGCCCGCCCCUUUUAGAGUCCAAUCAGAACUCUCUUUUGGGAUUACGCUCCACCGACCUAAAGGAUCAAGGAUAACCAUUCAAUCAAUGACGGUUUGAUCCGAUGGCCCAUAUUCACUUGGAAGGACUAUAAAACCAGACCCCCUGGCCCCUG